ensembl:lncRNA
GCAUCAGACAUCUCUUUCAUAUUGCACCUAAGAUGAUUAAACGACUCAUUCAGCAACCUGUGUCCCACAUUCACAAAAGGCACACGGCUUAAAGCAUCAGCAACUGAAUUCUGAGAGCCUGGGACAUACUUAAUGUCGAAAUCAUAGCUGGCUAACUUCGCUACCCAUCGCUGCUCGCAACAAUCCAAUUUCGGCUUCGUCAUGAUAUGAGUCAGCGGAUUAUUAUCAGUGCAGACAGUGAAUUUAUUACCUCUUAGCCAAUGGCUAAACUUGUCGCAUACUGCCCAUUUUAAAGCUAGAAAUUCUAAUCUAUGAGCAGGAUAAUUCCUCUGAGACCGAGACAACGAUUUACUAGCAAACGCGAUAGGCCUGGCAAUAGCGUCGCCCUGUUGCACUUGAGAAAGAACAGCCCCAAGGCCAUCCAAAGAGGCAUCAGUGGAAAGCAUAAAAGGCUGAUCAAAGUUCGGGUGUGCCAGAACCACACUAUUAAGCAGGGAUGAUUUCAACAUCUCAAAGGCUCUAACGUGAUCAUCAGUCCAGUGCUCACGACUCAACUUACGGCCCUGUGAAGAUCUCUUCAGCCUCCAGCCACCCUUAGACCUUCUCGUCUGCCCUGUAAGCAAUUCAAAGAGAGGUCUAGCAAUGGAUGAAUACUUAGGUAUGAAAUGUUGGUAAUAAUUUACCAUGCCAAGAAACGACCUUAUAUGUUUUUGACUCGGAGUCACGCCAUCACGUUCCAUCAGAUCAGUGCAAGUCAUUCUCGCAAUACUCUCGACUUUACAAGGGUCAGUAGAGACACCUGUCUCAUCAACUAUGUGUCCCAAAAACUUAACUGACUUUCUGAGAAAAUAACAUUUCUUUGGUGACAGCUUCAAAUUAUGUCCACGCAAUCUGCUAAAGACCAUCUCCAGUCGCUCCAAAGCAGUUCUCUCAUUAGGGGCAAAAACGAGAAGAUCAUCAAGAUAACAGAGUAGGCUCAAGAAAUUCUGGUCACCAAAAAUUGCUGUCAUCAUUCUCAUAAAGCUACCGGGACUAUUGCAUAACCCCUGCGGAAGACGGUUAUAUUCAUACAGCCCCAUCGGGGUCGUAAAAGCGGAAUACUUCCUAUCUAGAAGUUGUUUCUUACAACUAUCAGAAACCUCACAAGAGUUAAUAUCCAGCCCACCUAAACCAACCCGUAGCAGCUGUUCAUUUAACUCAUGUACCCCUCCACCAUGGCUAAACGUGGAGUCAGCCACCUGAGAAUAGCUCAACAAAGGAACAUCUUUACUGAUAGGUGCAGCAGCUUCCAUAUCUUCAAGUGCCACACACGCAAACACAUCAGCAAUCUUUGCAUGGCGUCUCAGCAGUAUUUGCUUAUGGGACAUGUUUAUGAGCUUAAGUGGUACCCAUCCAUUACCCCAUAAAGGACUGACAAGUCUAGCCACUAACACAUGCCUGGGAGCUGAUCUGGAAGUAGUAGGUUCAAUUAUCACAGUACUACCUGGAGAAAAGGUACAAGACUUAUCCAACUUUCCCCACAGCAGGUAUUCACGACCGGGUUCCAGACACACUGCUGCAGUGCAUCUGACCGUACCGAUCUUAUCUGGGAUUUCCCCACCUUUCCAACGCUCCACUCCUGCUAACAUAGAAAGAAACUGUUCAGAUUCUAAAUCAGCAUUCAAACAUGGAUGAGACAAUGCUUUCCAGUAAGCAGGACAACGUUUAGACUGAUGGAUUACAUGUUUGAUCACAUUUGUCCCUAUUAUAAGGUCAUCUAGUUGGCCAUGAACAACCAGGGUAGGCACUAUGACCUUACAUCCAUAAACUUCCAUUUCGACAUCAUAAACCGAUUUAGGCUUUACUCGACUGCCGCCGCAGCCUAUCAGAACUACAUCACAAUUUGAUCCUUUCUCUUUUUUCAACACACCAUCAUCGAGGAGUUUAGCCUCAGCACUCUCACUCAUUGUACAAGCCAUUGACCCACUAUCGAGCAUGCCACCAAGAGUUAACUUGUUCCCCACGAUGACUGGUGUGUAAAACAAACUGUCACUUUUGCUUAAUGUAUUGGUAUUCUGUACAAUAACAUUUUCAGUUGAUUCACAAAAAUCCUUGAUUAACGUAGACACAGCAUCUACAUCAGCAUCAGCCAUAUGGGAGUUGCUACCUAGACCCGUACACCCCCCCACCAUAUACGGGUCUAUCAGUUUCCCCCAGUCUGACCGCGCUGAGCAGACACUCUGCGUGGACAUGCACUGUGUGUAUGACCUGAAGAAAAACAAGAGAAACAUAACCUUUCUCUUAGACAAUGAGUUUUGGUAGAAUGGGAUCGCGCUUUACAGACAUCGCAUAUCCUCACUUCGUCGCCUUGUCUAAAAUCAGCACUGUGUGAAGUAUGAGCGUUGUUAUUUUGCUCCACUUUCUCAAGCACCUGUUCCAGCAUACUCAUCAUGCGGCUGAAGAUUUCCCCAUCUGGCUUUCGCACAUUUUGUGCCAUGGAGGCGACUGUGUCAGUACACUGAGGAACAUUGGGACAACUUGUCUGCACAUUAGAUUGACAAUGUUCAAAUGGCUGAGGCGGGUCGUCGCACUGAACAACAGCAGGAAAACUUCGAAAAUAAGCACUAGCAUGUCUCAAUGGUGCUCUCUUUUCUCUCUGGUAAUCAUCCAGUCUCCGUUGGAUGUCUCUCGCAUUCCACUCGUCAAUCGGUUUACAUUUAAAGAGGCAUGACAACUCAGGACCUGGGCAGUGUUUCACAAACAUACGUGCAACUUCAACGCUAAAAUUAUCCAUAACUCUACCCUGUCUGCGCAAUCCUUCUUCAGCCAAAUCAGCUGCUUUGUUAAGUCUAAUCCAGUAAUCGACUGGAUGUUCUUUUGGGUCUGGACAUGUGGAGUAAAAAUCAGCCAGAGGCAAACAAGAAGAGGCAUCGCUGAAGUAUUUGAGCUGUAUGGAAUAGAUAAUUUCAGGGUUGCACACCACAUCAAGAGAAACAUCACUCCUCAACCCAAUCUUCACGAUGUCUCUCGCUUUGCCCAUUAGUCUUGACAGGAUCUCGUCAGCUUGGUCGGAUACUGGGCAUUUCUGUUUGUUAAGCUGAGAUUUUGUUAACUCAAUCCAAUCACAGACAGAGUAUUUAUCAGAACCAUCACCUUUAAACAUUACUGGUUCUCUGUCCGCUUUAACGUGAACUGUGACUUGAGGUCUAUCUUGUCUGAUGCUAUCGGAACCCAAAUGUCUGAUAUUUUCUGAGUUACAAUUGGCAUUUAUGACUCCAGUCUCAGCAAGUCUUGCCAUGAUCGAAUCACCUAUUUGAGUUCCGAGUCUACCCAUCAUAUCUGUUAACUCCUGCAAUGCAUGGUCUGUAUUAUCAGCUCUUGGAGUGGAAACAAAAGGCCCAUCCCCCAAAAAUGGUCUCACUGUUGGAUUAGUUGUGGUACGACCACGCCCUAUACCCCUUUCACAAUCGCUCAUACACUGAAGAUUGCCAAUCCCUUCACAAAAGGACUCGUUGCGCGUCAUGCCACCAUUAUUCAACCCAGAAAGCAAAACACCUCUCCCUCUAGGGACAAAUGGGCUAGUGGCAUCGUAAUCUGAAGGAAAUUUCUCAGCCAUUAUUUCAAAAUGGAUGAGGGAAGAGAAAAGAAAAUAGAUUUGAAAAAAAAAAUAAUAAUAAAUAAAUAAAGAGAAAACAAAAUCCUGACAAAAACAAAAACACAAUUGAACAUGUGCUCGUAUAAACAGAUUAAGUUCAAUCACGAAUGCAUCGUUAAUUCAGUCACGUUCAAACUAAGUCCAAAAUUCAAAAUGAGUCCAAAGUACAAAGUGAAUCCAAAAAUUCAAAAUGAGUCCAGAGUCCAAACUGAAUCAAAAAUUCAAAAUGAAUCCAAAGUUCAUUAAAUGUUUCACUUAACUCAAGAAAUACUGUUCAGAGUAUAUAAAAAAAAACGACAAACCCCCAGUCUUCUUGAUUCCGAGAUGAAAAUAUGACGUUUCAGCAACCACACGGCGAUCUGCUUCAUGCGGAUCUUUGUGAUGCACGGAUCACGGCACCAGUGUAACGCCUCUCAUCCGACAGCACAUAAAUCACAGGCGGACACGGAGAACUGCGUUUCAUGCGUUGUUUACUGUAACAACAUGGAGACAAGGAGAAACAUAUAUCCUCUGGCGACAGUGGGCAUUUACAAUAAUGCAUCACCUCUCAGCAUCAGACACAUUUCUUUGCUGUUACUUUAAACACUUGAACGCGACGCAGCGCGCAUUUGUUUCAAUAGAACAGUCAGGAUUCAAACAAAUAAACAUACCUGUAACAACAUGGAGACAAGGAGAAACAUAUAUCCUCUGGCGACAGUGGGCAUUUACAAUAAUGCAUCUAAAAUAACAAAAAUGAGAGAUUCAACUGUUUUUGAUUCAAUAAAGAUGGUGUCGGCCAUGCAACGCACAUGGUGAGCAAAUUGCAUUUAAACUCUAUAAAGCUCAUCAAAUACAGUCACAGUCACUUAAUAUCAUGUUUCACAACAUCGCUGAGCUUCGAUUGUAACAUUAUUUGUGAAAUUAACAUAUAUUAAGUUACACAGACAUCUCAUUUCCCAGGAGCACAUUUUACCUACCACCUCUCAGCAUCAGACACAUUUCUUUGCUGGGGGUGGAGGCGUGGUUUCACAAUUAAGUCAAAUGACCCACUAAUUACUUAAUGUCGCCACAAGGGGUCUCCAAACAAUUAAUAAAUGAACAAAUACA